GAUCCUUCUACCGCCUCCUUAUCCAAUAUCCCUUUUCAUCUUUGUCUAUUGAUUUCGUCAAAUGUGUGAUGUUUCUCAUCUAAAGUGGACAAGAUUUAUCAUCGGAGAAGCCACCCGACUUUCUUCUCCGGGUGCUUUUAAGAAGAUUCAAGUUUGAGAGUCUUCAAGCUAUUCUUGGAAGUAUAAAAAGCCUCAGACCCAGUUCUACUUGGACAUUCCUUCUCCUAUCAUUGGUUGUGGUGUUGAUGGGGUAAACAAAGAGGCAACGUAGCAGCGACGGGCUCCAGUGGAGGGGUCUGCCAGUUCCCACCGCCUCUCUUAUCAACACUGUCAUCGCUCACGCUUCAGCUCUCAUCUUUACCCAGCUAAUCACCAGACGUAAGCUCCUAACCGCCAUUAGCGAGACCCUAGGAACGAGAAUUGUGAGGUAGCGUCACAUGUCCUCAUUCCGAUUCUCCAGUCACUGCCUCCACUGCAGAGGAGGAUGGUGGUGUUUCCUACAGUGAGAAAAUAUUACCAUUUUCUUACUGCAAACAACGUGUUCGACAAAAUGCCACAUUGAAGAUUUUCUUCAUUGAUUGCCUUUAAUUGUCAGUACCAACCAUGGAACGAUCUAAUGACGAAGAGGAAGAUGCUGAUUUUGGUGGUGAUUCUGAAGAUUGAUGAAUUAGGAUUCUACGUCGUUUCCCAUUAAGGAUUUUACCCAUGAGUGCAAUUGCAAAUAUAAGUCAUGGAAUGCAAUUUGUAGACUGAGUAAUGCUAUUGAGUAAAAAAAUGCAACUCCUUACUUUUGAUUGGUUUGGAUUGCUACCAAAUUCGGGUCAUAACUGAAAAGGCUUGAGUUCAUAAUGUUGUAGCAUAUUUUCACGUAAUGUAACAAUUUCCACUUAUGGGAGUGGGACUCGCGGUGGUGGUUUUCAGCCAGUUCCAAUACCGUCUGGUUUUAAACGAGCUCCGUCUAUCCAUUCCAUUACCGGUGCUGCUACUUACUUGGCCCCUCCAUCGCCUCUCACCGAUUAUGUUCUCGUGCUCUUCUCCUCUCUCUCUCUCUCUCUCUCUCUCUCUCUCUCUCUCUCUCUCUCUCUCUUAUAGGUACAAAUUUUUUAUUCUAACAUUUUUGGACCAAACUGUCCCUGCAUACUGUUUCCAUAGAUAAAAAUUUUGAUUUUAAGACUUUUGGACGAAACUGCCCAUGCAUGUUGUUUUUAAACUUUAAAAAAAUUGUUUUAAACAGUUUUAGAUCAAACUGUCCCUUCAUACUAAUUUUAUAGUUUAUUUUUUUUUAUUUUAACAGUUUUGGACAAAAAUGCACUUGCAUAAUGUUUUUAUACUUAAAAAAAAAUUUGAAAAUUUAACAAUUUUGGAUGACACAACUCUUACUUAUCGUUUUAAAAGUUAAUCUUUUUUUGAUUUCAACGGAUUUGAACUCAGAUUGAUGUUGAAUAUAUUUAAGUAGUAAAUUGAGUAAAUAGAGAUAUACUUUGCAUUUUGUUUUUAUUCCUUUACCAAAAAACAAAGUACAUAGUCAUUUUUUGUUUUUCCAUCUUUAGGUGCUAAAUGCAAUAAAUAGCAACGAGCUUUGAAUUUACACAUUUUUUCGGUUUUUUUUUUUU